rnacentral:rRNA from 1 species
UUUACACAUGCAAGUCGAACGGUAACAGGUCUUCGGAUGCUGACGAGUGGCGAACGGGUGAGUAAUACAUCGGAACGUGCCUAGUAGUGGGGGAUAACUACUCGAAAGAGUAGCUAAUACCGCAUGAGAUCUACGGAUGAAAGCAGGGGAUCGCAAGACCUUGUGCUACUAGAGCGGCUGAUGGCAGAUUAGGUAGUUGGUGGGGUAAAGGCUCACCAAGCCAACGAUCUGUAGCUGGUCUGAGAGGACGACCAGCCACACUGGAACUGAGACACGGUCCAGACUCCUACGGGAGGCAGCAGUGGGGAAUUUUGGACAAUGGGCGAAAGCCUGAUCCAGCAAUGCCGCGUGCAGGAUGAAGGCCCUCGGGUUGUAAACUGCUUUUGUACGGAACGAAAAGCUCUGGGCUAAUAUCCCGGAGUCAUGACGGUACCGUAAGAAUAAGCACCGGCUAACUACGUGCCAGCAGCCGCGGUAAUACGUAGGGUGCAAGCGUUAAUCGGAAUUACUGGGCGUAAAGCGUGCGCAGGCGGUUAUGUAAGACAGAGGUGAAAUCCCCGGGCUCAACCUGGGAACUGCCUUUGUGACUGCAUGGCUAGAGUACGGUAGAGGGGGAUGGAAUUCCGCGUGUAGCAGUGAAAUGCGUAGAUAUGCGGAGGAACACCGAUGGCGAAGGCAAUCCCCUGGACCUGUACUGACGCUCAUGCACGAAAGCGUGGGGAGCAAACAGGAUUAGAUACCCUGGUAGUCCACGCCCUAAACGAUGUCA